AACGUAGGAGACAACCGUUAUCCGGAGUUACUGGGCGUAAAGGGCGUGUAGGCGGUUUGUUAAGUCUGGCGUGAAAGCUCUCGGCUAAACCGGGAGAGGUCGUUGGAUACUGGCAAACUUGAGGACGGUAGAGGCGUGUGGAAUUCCGGGUGUAGUGGUGAAAUGCGUAGAGAUCCGGAGGAACACCAGUGGCGAAGGCGACACGCUGGGCCGUACCUGACGCUAAAGCGCGACAGCAUGGGGAGCAAACGGG
rnacentral:rRNA from 1 species